AUUGAACGCUGGCGGCAGGCCUAACACAUGCAAGUCGAGCGGAUGAAGGGAGCUUGCUCCUGGAUUCAGCGGCGGACGGGUGAGUAAUGCCUAGGAAUCUGCCUGGUAGUGGGGGAUAACGUCCGGAAACGGGCGCUAAUACCGCAUACGUCCUGAGGGAGAAAGUGGGGGAUCUUCGGACCUCACGCUAUCAGAUGAGCCUAGGUCGGAUUAGCUAGUUGGUGGGGUAAAGGCCUACCAAGGCGACGAUCCGUAACUGGUCUGAGAGGAUGAUCAGUCACACGGGAAGUGAGACACGGCCCAGACUCUUACGGGAGGCAGCGGUGGGGAAUAUUGGCGAAUGGGCGAAAGCCUGAUCCAGCCAUGCCGCGUGUGGGAAGAAGGUCUUCGGAUUGUAAAGCACUUUAAGUUGGGAGGAAGGGCAGUAAUUUAAUCCCUGGUUGUUUUGACGUUACCAACAGAAUAAGCACCGGCUAACUUCGUG
rnacentral:rRNA from 1 species